rnacentral:rRNA from 1 species
GAUGAACGCUGGCGGCGUGCCUAAUACAUGCAAGUCGAGCGAACGGACGAGAAGCUUGCUUCUCUGAUGUUAGCGGCGGACGGGUGAGUAACACGUGGAUAACCUACCUAUAAGACUGGGAUAACUUCGGGAAACCGGAGCUAAUACCGGAUAAUAUUUUGAACCGCAUGGUUCAAAAGUGAAAGACAGUCUUGCUGUCACUUAUAGAUGGAUCCGCACUGCAUUAGCUAGUUGGUAAGGUAACGGCUUACCAAGGCAACGAUGCAUAGCCGACCUGAGAGGGUGAUCGGCCACACUGGAACUGAGACACGGUCCAGACUCCUACGGGAGGCAGCAGUAGGGAAUCUUCCGCAAUGGGCGAAAGCCUGACGGAGCAACGCCGCGUGAGUGAUGAAGGUCUUCGGAUCGUAAAACUCUGUUAUUAGGGAAGAACAUAUGUGUAAGUAACUGUGCACAUCUUGACGGUACCUAAUCAGAAAGCCACGGCUAACUACGUG